CUGGCGGGCGGCGGCGCACAGGGACCGCCCCAGCCUGGCGCCGCCGCCGCCGCCCGCCUCAGCCCAACAUGGCGAUGCACAACAAGGCGGCGCCGCCGCAGAUCCCGGACACCCGGCGGGAGCUGGCGGAGCUCGUGAAGCGGAAGCAGGAGCUGGCGGAAACACUGGCAAACUUGGAGAGACAGAUCUAUGCCUUUGAAGGAAGCUACCUGGAAGACACUCAGAUGUAUGGCAAUAUUAUUCGUGGCUGGGAUCGGUAUCUGACCAACCAGAAAAACUCCAAUAGCAAAAACGAUCGAAGGAACCGGAAGUUUAAGGAAGCUGAGCGGCUCUUCAGUAAAUCCUCAGUUACUUCAGCAGCUGCAGUAAGUGCGUUGGCAGGAGUUCAGGAUCAGCUCAUUGAAAAGAGGGAGCCAGGAAGUGGGACGGAAAGUGAUACUUCUCCAGACUUCCACAAUCAGGAGAAUGAGCCCAGCCAGGAGGACCCUGAGGAUCUGGACGGAUCUGUGCAGGGAGUGAAGCCUCAGAAGGCUGCUUCUUCUACUUCCUCAGGGAGUCAUCACAGCAGCCAUAAAAAACGAAAGAAUAAAAACCGACACAGCCCGUCUGGCAUGUUUGAUUAUGACUUUGAGUAUGUAUAUUAGGUUAGGCUGGGAAGUUUUUUUUAAAAACAGAAAAACGUGAUGGAGGAUUGAUCUGAAGUUAAACAAAAAACCACGAGCUGACUAUUAGAAGACUCAUUAGUGCAGAAGCUGCAGAAGCUUCCAGGCUGUAGAGCCCUGCUUCCCUCCUCCAACCUCACAAAGAUACAUAUCCCUCACCUGAGUGCACAGCCACCCACCUCUGCUUUCCCAGACCCAGUGCCUGUGACUCUGAAUAGUUUGUUCUGAAACGUGGUGACAAGUCAUUUCUGUAAGACCACAUUGGAUCAUUUACUGUGUGUCAUUUUUAGUAACAGAACUGCAAGAAGGCCAAGACAUGGUUAUAAUUCCAGCAAGUUGCUAACGCUGCAUUUCUCCCUUCUUGGAAUGAAUGUGUCCCCGCAAACUGGCUGGCACCAGCUUCAUCUGUGAUACCCAUCAAGAAAUGUUCUCUGGUUUUGUUUUAUGCUGAAGGUAGAAUGUAGGUCACGUUUCAGAGGGAGGCUGUAAAUAUCGGGCAUUUUCUUAUUUUGUUUGUGUUUUAUUAUUUUUCUAUUGUUUUUACCAUCUUCUUUUCUUUGGGACUUUUUGUAAUGCCGUUGUACAGCUCAUACCUUCCUGCCAACAUAUCUGAUCAUCUGCUUCAUGCCGUUGCCAGUAUUCUUAACUGAAAAGAAUCUGGUUUACCAUAAAGAAAAUGGGGAACUUGGCUCUGUGUUUUUGCAGGGGGAAGGUAAAGAGGGUUUAUUUAAUAAUUACCUAUCUUAAAUCUUUCUGCGUUGGAAGCAGUUUCAUGUUCAAGGAACAGGAAAAGCUGAAAAACCUAAGUUUAAAUCAAUCCUUUUAAAAUAGAUAUUUUUAUUCUUUUAUAUAAAUAAAAUUUCACAGGUGUUGACUUCUCAUGCUUAUUUUAAACCUGAGAUUGUUUUUUCACUUAUUUUAUUUAUUCAUAUCAUGCCUUAUGGAAAUUUCUUCCUUUUUCCAUUUUUCUUUCUUUGCUGGUAUCUGCCUGAUUAAACAUUGCUCUAAAAAUCACUAAGGUAUAUGGAAAGGCUCAGCAUUACCCCCAGAGCCGGUAACGUUUGGAAUUCUUGAGGAGAGUGAGAGAUGGGAUCUGCGAGAGCCAGCAAUGCCCAGCAGACCCCCUACCUCACAGGGCUGCUCAGGCUGGGGAGCUUGCCAGUUCAUUGAGAUGUUAUCUGCCUCUGGAGUGGGGCUUGACCUCGGCUGCUCACAGGAGUCACCUGGGAAGCUUAAGGACCUGCUGGUGCCUGGGUCCCACCCCCAGAGACUCUGACUGGGGUGCAGUCUAGUGGCUGGGAUUUCCUUCCAAAGAGUCCCUGGGAUUCUGAUGAGAAGCCAGGUUUGAGAACCACUGCAUGAGGAGUGUUUGAUUGAAAUCCCAUGUUGCAAAUCAGUCUAGGAGAUAAGAUUUGGGGCCCCAUCUUUCCUUUGAUGCUGUCUAGUCAUAGUCCUUGACUUAGGCCCAUAUAUCUUUGUUAGAACAAGUAUGUUCCAUUGUGAUAAUAUUGGUAGAGUUGAAUACGGAUGGCAUCUAUUAGCAGAACGAGUCUACCUUGUCAGAUGUGCAAAAGCUUUUACUCUUGUUCUCAAAUAAACUUUUUUUUUUUUUUUUGACUCUGUGGCUAAUUAGAGGUCUUUGGUAGCAAGAACUCCAAUGUUAAGGUUUUUAAGAAAAUAGUUUCUUAUAUUUAGAUUGAUCCUUUAAAAAAGAAAAAAAAAACAAUUAUAAAGCUUAAAACCAUGGGGACCAAAAGAUUUCUAUAUCCUCCUUUGUCAGUUUCUCUCCUUUCCUGUGAGAGAAAGUGGGGCUUCCUGUGGUCUCCGUGGCCCAGAGGAGAGCGCACAGCAAACCUGAGAAUAUUUCUCUCAUAGUUUUGACAUUUGCUUGAGAUCUGGUGGGAUUGCUCUUAAAAAGUUAUAUUAUAUAAAAACAUACCUGUGUAUAUGAAUACACAUGUAUGUAUAUGAUCAUGGUUAGAGGUAGGCUGCUUGCUUUAUACUUAUUUUCUCUGUAAAGUUUUCAGUCAUUGAUUAGGGGACCUCCCAAGUUUUCCUGUAAGCUGGCCACAGACUAAAGAUAUUUAAGUCACGAGGGAGUGCUUAUGUUCUCUAAAUUGGAGUCAUUUGGGCAGAAACCCCAAGAGAUGCCUACCAUGCUUGUGAUAUUUGUCGCUUUGGUUAUUAACUAAGUUUGUCUGAAAGACUCAGACCUGACCAGUGACCCUGCCAGAGUGGCUGCCAGGACCCAUGAGAGGGACUUCCUUCUAGGCAGGCCUUCACCGGAUUAUCAGGGUCUGGAAUAGUAUUUUGCUUUAGGCCCUUAGGCUUCUUAUCUCCACAACGGGAAGAAGUUGCCCUUAGCUCCUGUUCGAGGUUAUAAGACACUGAACAAAAUCCAGACUCGUGGUAGUUCUAUUUCAUGUCUUCUCCUGGGAGGAUGGUGUCUGUACACAGCUCCCAAGGGAGUCUCAAGUAUGCUUGCUUUUCCCGAGGCUGAGAAAUCGUUUAUUUUGUUGAAACUCCGCAUGUUCUAAAUAGCGUCACACCCUGCAGGCUGAAGAUGGAGAGCAGGGACAACCCGCAAAGGAGAGGACUGCUUGUUCUGUGGGGCCAGCGGGAGGGCCUGAGGGAAGUGCCGGGAGUCGGACGGGGUCAGCAGGCCGAGGGCACAGGAGUUCAGUGCUGCUGUCCGCGUCUUGGGGGCCUCCGGAAUGCUUUGAGAAAUGGAGCCUUUGGGGGCUAGAGAGUACUCUGUAAGUAUCCUACAAGGAGGACUGUUGAUACUGCAACCUGUGUGGUGAAUAAAGGAAUGGAAACAAGUAUUUAAAUGGCCUAACUUUGAAAGGAGUAAAUAUGCUGUUUUGAAACACUCUG